ensembl:lncRNA
UUUAAUUCUAUUGUGCAGUUAUUUGUUACCCUGAAAUGCUUUAUGCUUAACAACAGCUCACUAUUUUAACUUAUUUUUGAACUCUUGUGAUCAGUAUGACUAGUUUGUGUGAGUUUCCAUACUAAAAGAGCUGUAGUGAUAAAAUAAUUGGCAUCAGAGACACUGAUUUUUGGCAUGGUGUACUGCAGAAGUUUUUUUUUUUUGGCAUUAUUUACCUUUUAAUUAAACUGCAUUCUCUGUAUUGUAACAAAACUAACAUUGUUUAUAUGUCAGAAAAUUAGCAAACAUGAAUAAAUGGCGAAAACAAUAUAAUUAUAACAUAUAUUUUUAUUUUACUUAUUUUAGGUCUGUGAAGCCAAACUUGAUGCUGGGGAUUUAUUUUUGUCAGUGGAGUCAAAUGGUCUAGAUGAUCACAUCUGUCUUUGUCAUUUAAAUGAGGUGGACUUGCAAACUUUGCACUCUUUUGGGUAAAUUGCUGUCCACUACAUAUACACAGAAUGUGCACAGUAUUUCAGAUCUAAAAAGGGAGUAUGUAAUGGACUUGCUGGCUUUAAUGUAAAAAGCCUGUUGUGUAACUUUAAUGAGGCAGUUGGACUAAAACAGUAUUGCUCAUCAAGGUAAACAUCUGAGGAAUAAGGAAAUUGUUACUUGUCCUUUUACUCAGUGUUCUUUUAAUCGCACGUUUACUAAAGUUUUACAUCACAUAAGUCAUUUUCACAAUCAUUCUACUUUAAAAGAUUUCAAGACAGAGCUUAUUGUUCUCUGAACUUCCUUGUUUGCUGAACGGCAGGUUGAAGCAGAAUUUGCCCGUCU